rfam:Clostridium lentocellum DSM 5427, complete genome.
GCGCGAAUGGCUCAGUUGGUAGAGCAUCUCCUUGCCAAGGAGAGGGUCGCGGGUUCGAGUCCCGUUUCGCGCU